rnacentral:rRNA from 1 species
UACGAAGGGGGCUAGCGUUGCUCGGAAUCACUGGGCGUAAAGCGCACGUAGGCGGAUUGCUAAGUCAGGGGUGAAAUCCUGGAGCUCAACUCAGAACUGCCUUUGAUACUGGCGGUCUCGAGUCCGGGAGAGGUGAGUGGAACUGCGAGUGUAGAGGUGAAAUUCGUAGAUAUUCGCAAGAACACCAGUGGCGAAGGCGGCUCACUGGCCCGGUACUGACGCUGAGGUGCGAAAGCGUGGGGAGCAAACAGG